GAUGAACGCUGGCGGCGUGCUUAACACAUGCAAGUCGAACGGUGAAGGCGGAGCUUGCUCUGCUGGAUCAGUGGCGAACGGGUGAGUAACACGUGAGCAAUCUGCCCCUGACUCUGGGAUAAGCGCUGGAAACGGCGUCUAAUACUGGAUACGAGCUGCGAAGGCAUCUUCAGCAGCUGGAAAGAACUUCGGUCAGGGAUGAGCUCGCGGCCUAUCAGCUUGUUGGUGAGGUAACGGCUCACCAAGGCGUCGACGGGUAGCCGGCCUGAGAGGGUGACCGGCCACACUGGGACUAAGACACGGCCCAGACUCCUACGGGAGGCAGCAGUGGGGAAUAUUGCACAAUGGGCGAAAGCCUGAUGCAGCAACGCCGCGUGAGGGACGACGGCCUUCGGGUUGUAAACCUCUUUUAGCAGGGAAGAAGCGAAAGUGACGGUACCUGCAGAAAAAGCGCCGGCUAACUACGUG
rnacentral:rRNA from 1 species